rnacentral:rRNA from 1 species
CCUACGGGAGGCAGCAGUGGGGAAUAUUGGACAAUGGGCGAAAGCCUGAUCCAGCAAUUCCGCGUGUGUGAAGAAGGCCUUCGGGUUGUAAAGCACUUUAGUGGGGGAAGAAACAGCUUGGCCACACCAAGCCUUGACGGUACCCCAAGAAUAAGCACCGGCUAACUCUGUGCCAGCAGCCGCGGUAAUACAGAGGGUGCAAGCGUUAAUCGGAUUUACUGGGCGUAAAGGGUGCGUAGGUGGCUAUUUAAGUCGGAUGUGAAAGCCCGGGGCUCAACCUCGGAAUUGCAUUCGAUACUGAGUGGCUAGAGUUCGGUAGAGGGCGGCGGAAUUUCCGGUGUAGCGGUGAAAUGCGUAGAUAUCGGAAGGAACAUCAAUGGCGAAGGCAGCCGCCUGGGCCUGGACUGACACUGAGGCACGAAAGCGUGGGUAGCAAACAGGAUUAGAUACCCUGGUAGUCCACGCCGUAAACGAUGAGAACUUGACGUUGGUUCGUUUUACGAAUCGGUGUCGCAGCUAACGCGAUAAGUUCUCCGCCUGGGGAGUACGGCCGCAAGGUUGAAACUUAAAUGAAUUGA